AUGGACAUUGGAGACCUCACAGUUACCUCCAAGGAGGAGCAAAUGGCUGCCAAGCUACCUAUCCCUGGCAAGCGAAAUAUCCUGAUCACCAGCGCCUUGCCUUACGUCAACAAUGUCCCUCAUCCCGGCAAUAUCAUUGGCUGUGUGUUGAGUGCUAAUGUCUUUGCACGCUACUGCCGUCUUCGAGGCUACAAUACGGUAUAUGUAUGUGGAACUGAUGAGUAUGGCACAGCGACAGGGACCAAAGCUAUGGAAGAGAAGUGUAGCCCCCAACAGAUUUGUGACAAAAUUCAGCUUUACUGUGACACAUGCAAACGGUUCUUAGCCGAUAGACUUGUGGAGGGGACAUGCCCGACUCAAGGUUGUGACUAUGCUUCUGCACAAGGAGAUCAAUGUGAAUACUCUGGAAAGAUUUUGAAUCCAACAAAACUAAAAGAUCCUAAAUGCAAGGUGUGUAAGACAACUCCACGAAUUCGUGAUACAAAUCACUUGUUUCUAUAACUUCAUUUGCUCAAAGAUAAACUGGAAGAGUAUCAAUAAAACAUCAGUGGUUGGGUCUUAGAGCCAAAAUGCUAUUCAAGGGACGAAUGCAUGGCUCAAAGAGGGACUUAAACAACGAUGUAUUACUAGAGAUCUAAAGUGGGGGGUUCUAGUUCCACAUGAUAACUUCAAGGACAAGGUUUUCUAUGUGUGGUUUGAUGCAGAAAUGGUGGAAAAAUCCUGAGAAUGUGGAGUUGUAUCAGUUUAUGGGUAAGGAUAACGUGCCAUUCCAUACAGUAAUGAUGUUUCCGUCAACGCUUCUUGAAACUGGUGAAAAUUGGACUUUAAUCAAGACUAUUAGUGUUAUUGAGUACUUAAACUACGAAGCAAGUAUGGAUUCUAGAAGACUUUAUUUAUGAAACGAUGCAAAAGAUACAAACAUUCCUGUUGAAGUAUGGAGAUAUUACUUGCUAACUAAUAGGCCCGAGGAAACUUUAAUGAUUCCAGUAUCAGACACAUUAUUUACGUGGGCAGACUUGCAAGCAAAACUGAACAGCGAAUUGCUGAAUAAUUUGGGCAACUUCAUAAAUCGAGUUUUGAGUUUUGUUGCCAAACCUUCAGGUCAAGGAUAUGGUUCCAUUAUUCCAGAUGCUCCAAGGGCAGAGUCAGAUCUUUUAACAGAGAAAUUAGCUGAAAAAGUUGGAAAAUAUGUGGAGCAAUAUAUAGAAGCAAUGGAGAAGGUUAAACUAAAGCAAGGACUGAAAACAGCAAUGAGCAUUUCUAGUGAAGGGAAUGCAUAUCUGCAAGAAAGCCAAUUCUGGAAGCUUUACAAGGAGGACCAACCUCGUUGCGCUUUUGUUAUCAGAACUUCAGUUGGACUAGUGUAUCUUCUUGCUUGUUUGUUGGAACCUUUUAUGCCAUCAUUUUCUCUCGAAGUAUUUAAGCAGCUUAAUUUACCUCCUGAGAAGCACAUAUCACUUUGUGAUGAUAAAGGAGAUAUUGAUAGGGCAAGACGACCUUGGGAGAUUGUACCUGUUGGUCACAAGAUUGCGAAACCAGAGCCAUUGUUCAAGGAAUUGAAAGAUGAAGAAGUGGAGUCCUUAAGGAAGAAGUUUGCUGGAAGUCAAGCGGACAGGAAGGAGCGGGAAGAAGCUGAAGCAGUGAAGGUGGCUGCACAACUCAAGAAAAUGAAAGUUUCAGGUUAGAAUUUCCGCAUUGGAAAGAAAAAGCAACAGGCCACAAAAUCUGCAGCUGAAGCAGAGAUUUCCAUUUCUAGACUUGAUAUUCGUGUUGGCCUCAUUACGAAAGCUCAGAAGCAUCCUGAUGCUGAUUCACUUUACAUACAAGAGAUUGAUGUUGGUGAAGGACAGGCUAGAACAGUUGUGAGUGGACUUGUCAAGUAUAUACCCAUUGAAGAAAUGCAGAACCGGAAGGUCUGUGUUCUUUGCAAUCUGAAGCCAGCAACCAUGAGGGGUAUUAAAUCACAAGCAAUGGUUCUUGCUGCUUCGAACAGUGACCACUCCACGGUUGAAUUGGUCAACCCGCCUAAAGCAGCUCAGGUUGGCGAGAGAGUUACAUUUCCGGGGUUCGCAGGUGAGCCUGAUGAGGUGUUAAACCCCAAGAAGAAAGUGUGGGAGAGCUUGCAAGUGGAUCUGCAUACUAACACUGACCUAGUGGCCUGCUACAGAGAUAUUCCCCUCACAACAUCAGCUGGUGUUUGCACUGUAUCCUCAAUUUGUGGGGGGUCAAUUAGAUAG